rnacentral:piRNA from 1 species
UGCAAGACCUGCCUUUCGCCUUCUGCC